AAAUCACGCUGAAAACACCAGUUCAUGAUCGUUCACCGAAGUUAAGCAGCGUUGAGACUGUUCAGUACUUAUAUAGGGGACCACAUGGGAACACCUGGUAGUGUAA